rnacentral:misc_RNA from 1 species
CAGAGUUGCAAAACUCCCUAAACCAUCGCGAAUCUUACCCGUAACAGGUUGCCUCGGCGGCUGGCGUCCGAAGGCCCUCCGGGGCCCCGGAUCUCGGUCUCCGCUCGCGGAGGCUGCCCGCCGGAGUGCCGAACUCAAACUCUUGAUAUUUACCAUGUCUCUCUGAGUAUUACUUUAAAUAAGUCA